CGUCUCGUUGCCAGGGGCGGCCAUGGCGGACCGGACGGGGAGAACCCGGCCCGGGCGCGGCCGCCGCCCGCGGGGACUCUUCCAUCUCCUGCCGUUGCCGCGGCUCAUGCGUGUCAUUUGAUUUGAGGAUGAAAGCGGCAGCUGGUGGAAGAAGGAGUCGGUGAAAGGCGCGGCAGGACGAGGAGAGGAGGAAGGAGGGAUGGAGACAGUGAGAAUUCGCUCGAAGAACGCCUGAAGGUUUUGCCUGGCUCGGCCGGAGCUGUCCCCGCCUGCUGAGCACCUUCAGCUUCAAACCCUUCCCCUGAGCUCCUCUUGUGCCUGUGCGGGGAGAUGUCAAAAAUAAAAAGAGAAAAGUUCA